GAUUUGCGUGAGGGAUUGACGCGGCAUCCUUUAUGGGCUUUUUUUGCCCAUAAAGAUACAGCAGAAAGCCCGGUCGCCU
rfam:Flavobacterium sp. FPG59 Contig_135, whole genome shotgun sequence.